AGAGAACUUUCCAGAGAUGGAUUGGUGGCCUUCGGGAACUCUGACACAGGUGCUGCAUGGCUGUCGUCAGCUCGUGUCGUGAGAUGUUGGGUUAAGUCCCGUAACGAGCGCAACCCUUGUCCUUAGUUACCAGCACGUUAUGGUGGGCACUCUAAGGAGACUGCCGGUAAUAAACCGGAGGAAGGUGGGGAUGACGUCAAAUCAUCAUGCCCCUUAUGACCUGGGCUACACACGUGCUACAAUGGUUGGUACAACGAGUUGCGAGUCGGUGACGGCGAGCUAAUCUCUUAAAGCCAAUCUCAGUUCGGAUUGUAGGCUGCAACUCGCCUACAUGAAGUCGGAAUCGCUAGUAAUCGCGGAUCAGCACGCCGCGGUGAAUACGUUCCCGGGCCUU
rnacentral:rRNA from 1 species